rnacentral:rRNA from 1 species
CGGGUGAGUAACACGUGGAUAACCUACCUAUAAGACUGGGAUAACUUCGGGAAACCGGAGCUAAUACCGGAUAAUAUAUUGAACCGCAUGGUUCAAUAGUGAAAGACGGUUUUGCUGUCACUUAUAGAUGGAUCCGCGCCGCAUUAGCUAGUUGGUAAGGUAACGGCUUACCAAGGCAACGAUGCGUAGCCGACCUGAGAGGGUGAUCGGCCACACUGGAACUGAGACACGGUCCANGACUCCUACGGGAGGCAGCAGCG